rnacentral:misc_RNA from 1 species
GCAAACUUGGUCAUUUAGAGGAAGUAAAAGUCGUAACAAGGUCUCCGUUGGUGAACCAGCGGAGGGAUCAUUACAGAGUUGCAAAACUCCCAAACCCUUGUGAAUAUACCUAUCUAUCGUUGCUUCGGUGGGCGGCCCCAGGGCGGGGUCGCGAGGUGCCCACCGGAGGUAUAUAACUCUUAUUUUUGUGGUUUCUCUGAGUAUCUAUUAAUAAGUCAAAACUUUCAACAACGGAUCUCUUGGUUCUGGCAUCGAUGAAGAACGCAGC